GCUAACGCGUGGCCAGAAGCGGCGUGAAUAAGGAGAGGGAAAACAUUAAGCUGAAGUAUUGGGCGUAAAUGGCGCGGAGUCGGUAAGAGAAGUCAGAUGGGAAAUGCCGAAGCUCAACUGCGGAGCUGCAUUUGAAACUAUCUUUCUAGAGGAUUGACGUAGAAAACGGAAUUCCACGUGUAGCGGUUAAAGGCGUAGAUAUGUGGAAGAACACCUGUGGCGAAAGCGGUUUUCUAGUUGAUACCUGACGCGGAGGCGCGAGAGCAAGGGGAGCAAACAGGAUUAGAUACCCGGGUAGUC
rnacentral:rRNA from 1 species